rnacentral:lncRNA from 10 species
GCAUGGGAUGCACAAAUGGAAAUUCCACUGGGUCUGCAGCUCACACAUAGGCAUGACCAGCAUAGAGAUAGAGAGGCCCCAGUGCUGCUGAGUAACUGUGAUUCCCCAGGUGAUGGCAUCAGCUGAGAAGGGAAGGAAGCCCAUGAGAGGACACUGAAGAAGGAGUGAGCAGACAAUAAGAAGCCCACAGAAGACAGAGAAGGAACAACUAGAGGGAGAAGCCAAGGCAGGCGUGUGUGUUUCUCCACAGACACUACCCAAAGCAGUGCUUCACUACAGUGGCAGACAGACCUGAAAAUUUUCAUCUGAAGCAGCAGAGUGAACUGCAGAGGCAGGUCACCAACCAGUGUGGAGGCUAAAAGCGGGCCUCUUUGGGGAUUCCAGGUGGAAGUGUUGGACAUCUGUAGUAUUCCUGGUCUCGAAUCAUCCUGAUAUUCUUCAUUUUGUUAUUCACAUUGGACUAGGAGAUAGAAUCUCACUAUGUUGACCAGGCUGGUCUUGAACUCUUGGCACCCAAGCGAUCCUUUUGCCUGGAAUCCCAAAGUGUCAGAUUUACUGAAGAAUAUUUCAUUGUAAUUACUUUUUAUACUUUAUAGGUCAAGAGCUCUGUUUUAAAUACAAAAUUUAUUGAAUAUACUUUUUCAAACAAAGUUUCAUGUUCUAAUCAUUGUCUGAUUUCAGCAUUAAAUGAAACACAGUAAAGAAAGUUGGGCUGAUGUUGUUGUUGGUGGUUGUUUUUGUAUUCUGAUUACAGAACUGUAUUUUGAGUGGGCUGAACAUAGAGUAAAUGCAUCCUCAGCUGCU